rnacentral:rRNA from 1 species
CUGCGUGAAGUCGGAAUUGCUAGUAAUCGCGGAUCAGCAUGCCGCGGUGAAUACGUUCCCGGGCCUUGUACACACCGCCCGUCACACCAUGAGAGCCGGUAAUACCCGAAGUCAGUAGUCUAACCGCAAGGAGGACGCUGCCGAAGGUAGGAUUGGCGAUUGGGGUGAAGUCGUAACAAGGUACC